UUAAAUUGAAGAGUUUGAUCAUGGCUCAGAUUGAACGCUGGCGGCAGGCCUAACACAUGCAAGUCGAACGGUAACAGGAAGCAGCUUGCUGCUUCGCUGACGAGUGGCGGACGGGUGAGUAAUGUCUGGGAAACUGCCUGAUGGAGGGGGAUAACUACUGGAAACGGUGGCUAAUACCGCAUAACGUCGCAAGACCAAAGAGGGGGACCUUCGGGCCUCUUGCCAUCAGAUGUGCCCAGAUGGGAUUAGCUUGUUGGUGAGGUAACGGCUCACCAAGGCGACGAUCCCUAGCUGGUCUGAGAGGAUGACCAGCCACACUGGAACUGAGACACGGUCCAGACUCCUACGGGAGGCAGCAGUGGGGAAUAUUGCACAAUGGGCGCAAGCCUGAUGCAGCCAUGCCGCGUGUAUGAAGAAGGCCUUCGGGUUGUAAAGUACUUUCAGCGGGGAGGAAGGUGUUGUGGUUAAUAACCACAGCAAUUGACGUUACCCGCAGAAGAAGCACCGGCUAACUCCGUGCCAGCAGCCGCGGUAAUACGGAGGGUGCAAGCGUUAAUCGGAAUUACUGGGCGUAAAGCGCACGCAGGCGGUCUGUCAAGUCGGAUGUGAAAUCCCCGGGCUCAACCUGGGAACUGCAUUCGAAACUGGCAGGCUUGAGUCUUGUAGAGGGGGGUAGAAUUCCAGGUGUAGCGGUGAAAUGCGUAGAGAUCUGGAGGAAUACCGGUGGCGAAGGCGGCCCCCUGGACAAAGACUGACGCUCAGGUGCGAAAGCGUGGGGAGCAAACAGGAUUAGAUACCCUGGUAGUCCACGCCGUAAACGAUGUCUACUUGGAGGUUGUGCCCUUGAGGCGUGGCUUCCGGAGCUAACGCGUUAAGUAGACCGCCUGGGGAGUACGGCCGCAAGGUUAAAACUCAAAUGAAUUGACGGGGGCCCGCACAAGCGGUGGAGCAUGUGGUUUAAUUCGAUGCAACGCGAAGAACCUUACCUGGUCUUGACAUCCACAGAACUUUCCAGAGAUGGAUUGGUGCCUUCGGGAACUGUGAGACAGGUGCUGCAUGGCUGUCGUCAGCUCGUGUUGUGAAAUGUUGGGUUAAGUCCCGCAACGAGCGCAACCCUUAUCCUUUGUUGCCAGCGAUUAGGUCGGGAACUCAAAGGAGACUGCCAGUGAUAAACUGGAGGAAGGUGGGGAUGACGUCAAGUCAUCAUGGCCCUUACGACCAGGGCUACACACGUGCUACAAUGGCGCAUACAAAGAGAAGCGACCUCGCGAGAGCAAGCGGACCUCAUAAAGUGCGUCGUAGUCCGGAUUGGAGUCUGCAACUCGACUCCAUGAAGUCGGAAUCGCUAGUAAUCGUGGAUCAGAAUGCCACGGUGAAUACGUUCCCGGGCCUUGUACACACCGCCCGUCACACCAUGGGAGUGGGUUGCAAAAGAAGUAGGUAGCUUAACCUUCGGGAGGGCGCUUACCACUUUGUGAUUCAUGACUGGGGUGAAGUCGUAACAAGGUAACCGUAGGGGAACCUGCGGUUGGAUCACCUCCUUACCUUAAAGAA
rnacentral:rRNA from 6 species